AGGACAUGUCAACAAAGCCUUCAUCGAGAGCGGUAGAGUCGAAAAGGGAGCAAAGAAUAGCAAAGGAUGCAGUAGAGCCCAUAGUAAUGAAGAUAAACCCAAAGCAACGAGAUGAAAACAAAACACCAAUCGCAGACA